rnacentral:rRNA from 1 species
GAUGAACGCUGGCGGCGUGCCUAAUACAUGCAAGUCGAGCGAACAGAUGAGGAGCUUGCUCCUCUGACGUUAGCGGCGGACGGGUGAGUAACACGUGGAUAACCUACCUAUAAGACCGGGAUAACUUCGGGAAACCGGAGCUAAUACCGGAUAAUAUAUUGAACCGCAUGGUUCAAUAGUGAAAGACGGUUUUGCUGUCACUUAUAGAUGGAUCCGCGCCGCAUUAGCUAGUUGGUAAGGUAACGGCUUACCAAGGCAACGAUGCGUAGCCGACCUGAGAGGGUGAUCGGCCACACUGGAACUGAGACACGGUCCAGACUCCUACGGGAGGCAGCAGUAGGGAAUCUUCCGCAAUGGGCGAAAGCCUGACGGAGCAACGCCGCGUGAGUGAUGAAGGUCUUCGGAUCGUAAAACUCUGUUAUUGGGGAAGAACAAAUGUGUAAGUAACUAUGCACGUCUUGACGGUACCUAAUCAGAAAGCCACGGCUAACUACGUG